AAAGAAAAGUAACGGUGUCGA
rnacentral:piRNA from 1 species